AUUUAAAUAGCUUAAUUAGAGCAUGAUAUUGAAGAUAUCAAGGUAAUAUAUUUAUUUUUAAAUA
rnacentral:tRNA from 1 species